rfam:Myotis brandtii contig182421, whole genome shotgun sequence.
GCCUGGCUAGCUCAGUCGGUAGAGCAUGAGACUCUUAAUUUCAGGAUCGUGGGGUUGAGCCCCACAUUGGGCA